UACGGAGGGGGCUAGCGUUGUUCGGAAUUACUGGGCGUAAAGGGUGCGUAGGCGGGUCUUUAAGUCAGGGGUGAAAUCCUGGAGCUCAACUCCAGAACUGCCUUUGAUACUGAGGAUCUUGAGUUCGGGAGAGGUGAGUGGAACUGCGAGUGUAGAGGUGAAAUUCGUAGAUAUUCGGAAGAACACCAGUGGCGAAGGCGGCUCACUGGCCCGUUACCGACGCUCAGGCGCGACAGCGUGGGGAGCAAACAGG
rnacentral:rRNA from 1 species